UACGAAGGGGGCUAGCGUUGCUCGGAAUCACUGGGCGUAAAGGGUGCGUAGGCGGGUCUUUAAGUCAGGGGUGAAAUCCUGGAGCUCAACUCCAGAACUGCCUUUGAUACUGGGGAUCUUGAGUCCGGGAGAGGUGAGUGGAACUGCGAGUGUAGAGGUGAAAUUCGUAGAUAUUCGCAAGAACACCAGUGGCGAAGGCGGCUCACUGGUCCGGUACUGACGCUGAGGUGCGAAAGCGUGGGGAGCAACAGGG
rnacentral:rRNA from 1 species